rnacentral:rRNA from 1 species
UACGUAGGGGGCAAGCGUUGCUCGGAAUCACUGGGCGUAAAGGGUGCGUAGGCGGGUUUUUAAGUCAGGGGUGAAAUCCUGGAGCUCAACUCCAGAACUGCCUUUGAUACUGAAGAUCUCGAGUCCGGGAGAGGUGAGUGGAACUGCGAGUGUAGAGGUGAAAUUCGUAGAUAUUCGCAAGAACACCAGUGGCGAAGGCGGCUCACUGGCCCGGUACUGACGCUGAGGCACGAAAGCGUGGGGAGCAAACAGG